UCACAUUGGAACUGAGACACGGUCCAAACUCCUACGGGAGGCAGCAGUGGGGAAUAUUGCACAAUGGGCGAAAGCCUGAUGCAGCAACGCCGCGUGAAGGAUGAAGGCUUUCGAGUCGUAAACUUCUGUCCUUGGGGAAGAAAAAAAUGACGGUACCCAUGGAGGAAGCCCCGGCUAACUACGUGCCAGCAGCCGCGGUAAUACGUAGGGGGCGAGCGUUAUCCGGAAUUAUUGGGCGUAAAGAGUGCGUAGGUGGUUCUUUAAGCGAGAGGUUUAAGGCUAUGGCUUAACCAUAGUUCGCCUCCCGAACUGAAGGACUUGAGUGCAGGAGGGGAAAGCGGAAUUCCUAGUGUAGCGGUGAAAUGCGUAGAUAUUAGGAGGAACACCAGUGGCGAAGGCGGCUUUCUGGACUGAAACUGACGCUGAGGCACGAAAGCUGGGGAUCAACGGAUUAGAUACCCUGGUAGUCCAUGCUGUAAACAUGAUGCUAUUUUCGGUCUGGGAUCGGUGACGGACUAACCCNNUAAGCAUUCCCCUGGGGGGUCCGGUC
rnacentral:rRNA from 1 species